GACGAACGCUGGCGGCGUGCCUAAUACAUGCAAGUCGAGCGAAUGGAUUAAGAGCUUGCUCUUAUGAAGUUAGCGGCGGACGGGUGAGUAACACGUGGGUAACCUGCCCAUAAGACUGGGAUAACUCCGGGAAACCGGGGCUAAUACCGGAUAACAUUUUGAACCGCAUGGUUCGAAAUUGAAAGGCGGCUUCGGCUGUCACUUAUGGAUGGACCCGCGUCGCAUUAGCUAGUUGGUGAGGUAACGGCUCAACAAGGCAACGAUGCGUAGCCGACCUGAGAGGGUGAUCGGCCACACUGGGACUGAGACACGGCCCAGACUCCUACGGGAGGCAGCAGUAGGGAAUCUUCCGCAAUGGACGAAAGGCUGACGGAGCAACGCCGCGUGAGUGAUGAAGGCUUUCGGGUCGUAAAACUCUGUUGUUAGGGAAGAACAAGUGCUAGUUGAAUAAGCUGGCACCUUGACGGUACCUAACCAGAAAGCCACGGCUAACUACGUGCCAGCCGCCGCCGUAA
rnacentral:rRNA from 1 species